UGGGGAAUCUUGCGCAAUGGGGGAAACCCUGACGCAGCGACGCCGCGUGUGGGAUGAAGGUCUUCGGAUUGUAAACCACUGUCGCGAGGGACGAAGCUCUGACGGUACCUCGAAAGGAAGCACCGGCUAACUCUGUGCCAGCAGCCGCGGUAAUACAGAGGGUGCGAGCGUUGUCCGGAAUCACUGGGCGUAAAGGGCGCGUAGGCGGCCCGGUAAGUAGGGGGUGAAAUCUCAUGGCUCAACUGUGAGGCUGCCUUCUAGACUGCCAGGCUUGAGCACAGUAGAGGCGAGUGGAAUUCCCGGUGUAGCGGUGGAAUGCGUAGAGAUCGGGAAGAACAUCGGUGGCGAAGGCGGCUCGCUGGGCUGUUGCUGACGCUGAGGCGCGAAAGCGUGGGGAGC
rnacentral:rRNA from 1 species